AGAUGAGAAGCUUGCUUCUCUGAUGUUAGCGGCGGACGGGUGAGUAACACGUGGGUAACCUACCUAUAAGACUGGGAUAACUCCGGGAAACCGGGGCUAAUACCGGAUAAUAUUUUGAACCGCAUGGUUCAAUAGUGAAAGACGGUUUCGGCUGUCACUUAUAGAUGGACCCGCGCCGUAUUAGCUAGUUGGUAAGGUAACGGCUUACCAAGGCGACGAUACGUAGCCGACCUGAGAGGGUGAUCGGCCACACUGGAACUGAGACACGGUCCAGACUCCUACGGGAGGCAGCAGUAGGGAAUCUUCCGCAAUGGGCGAAAGCCUGACGGAGCAACGCCGCGUGAGUGAUGAAGGUCUUCGGAUCGUAAAACUCUGUUGUUAGGGAAGAACAAAUUUGUUAGUAACUGAACAAGUCUUGACGGUACCUAACCAGAAAGCCACGGCUAACUACGUGCCAGCAGCCGCGGUAAUACGUAGGUGGCAAGCGUUAUCCGGAAUUAUUGGGCGUAAAGCGCGCGUAGGCGGUUUCUUAAGUCUGAUGUGAAAGCCCACGGCUCAACCGUGGAGGGUCAUUGGAAACUGGGAAACUUGAGUGCAGAAGAGGAGAGUGGAAUUCCAUGUGUAGCGGUGAAAUGCGCAGAGAUAUGGAGGAACACCAGUGGCGAAGGCGGCUCUCUGGUCUGUAACUGACGCUGAUGUGCGAAAGCGUGGGGAUCAAACAGGAUUAGAUACCCUGGUAGUCCACGCCGUAAACGAUGAGUGCUAAGUG
rnacentral:rRNA from 1 species